rnacentral:rRNA from 1 species
UGGGGAUGACGUCAAGUCAUCAUGGCCCUUACGACCAGGGCUACACACGUGCUACAAUGGCGCAUACAAAGAGAAGCGACCUCGCGAGAGCAAGCGGACCUCAUAAAGUGCGUCGUAGUCCGGGAUUGGAGUCUGCAACUCGACUCCAUGAAGUCGGAAUCGCUAGUAAUCGUGGAUCAGAAUGCCACGGUGAAUACGUUCCCGGGCCUUGUACACACCGCCCGUCACACCAUGGGAGUGGGUUGCAAAAGAAGUAGGUAGCUUAACCUUCGGGAGGGCGCUUACCACUUUGUGAUUCAUGACUGGGGUGAAGUCGUAACAAGGUAACCGUAGGGGAACCUGCGGUUGGAUCACCUCCUUACCUGAAAGAAGC